rnacentral:misc_RNA from 1 species
GAAAUGCGAUAGGUAAUGUGAAUUGCAGAAUUCAGUGAAUCAUCGAAUCUUUGAACGCACAUUGCGCCCGCCAGUAUUCUGGCGGGCAUGCCUGUUCGAGCGUCAUUUCAACCAUCAAGCCCCCGGCUUGUGUUGGGGACCUGCGGCUGCCCGCAGGCCCUGAAAAACAGUGGCGGGCUCGCUGUCACACCGAGCGUAGUAGCAUACAUUCUCGCUCAGGGCGUGCUGCGGGUUCCGGCCGUUAAACGACCUUCAUAACCCAAGGUUGACCUCGGAUCAGGUAGGAAGACCCGCUGAACUUAAGC